rnacentral:rRNA from 1 species
GGUUCGAUCAUGGCUCAGAUUGAACGCUGGCGGGAUGCUUUACAUGCAAGUCGAACGGCAGCACGGACUUCCCGGUCUGGUGGCGAGUGGCGAACGGGUGGUAAAUAUGUAUCGGAACGUGCCUAGUAGCGGGGGAUAACUACGUGGCGUAGCUAAUACCACAUACGCCCUUCGGGGAAAACGGGGGACCUUUCGGGCCUCACUAAUAGAGCAGCCGAUAUCGGAUUAGCUAGUUGGUGGGGUAACGGCUCGCAAGGCAUUGAUCCGUAGCUGGUUUGAGAGGACGACCAGCCACACUGGGGACUGAGACACGGCCCAGACUCCUGCGGGAGGCAGCAGUGAGGGAAUUUUGGACAAUGGAAACCUGAUCCAGCCAUCCCCGCGUGUGCGAUGAAGGCCUUCGGGUUGUAAGCACUUUUGGCAGAAAACGGCACGGGAUAAUACCCCGUGCAACUGACGGUACCUGCAGAAUAAGCACCGGCUAACUACGUGCCAGCAGCCGCGGUAAUACGUAAGUGCAAGCGUUAAUCGGAAUUACUGGGCGUAAAGCGUGCGCAGGCGGUUCGGAAGAAGAUGUGAAAUCCAGAGCUUAACUUUGGAACUGCAUUUUUAACUACCGAGCUAGAGUGUGUCAGAGGGAGGUGGAAUUCCGCGUGUAGCAGUGAAAUGCGUAGAUAUGCGGAGGAACACCGAUGGCGAAGGCAGCCUCUCAGGAUAACACACUGACGCUCAUGCACGAAAGCGUGGGGAGCAAACAGGAUUAGAUACCCUGGUAGUCCACGCCCUAAACGAUGUCAACUAGCUGUUGGAAGGCCUUCGGGCCUUGGUAGCGCAGCUAACGCGUGAAGUUGACCGCGCCUGGGAAGUACGGUCGCAAGAUUAAAACUCAAAGGAAUUGACGGGGACCCGCACAAGCGGUGGAUGAUGUGGAUUAAUUCGAUGCAACGCGAAAAAACCUUACCUACCCUUGACAUGUCUGGAAUCCCGAAGAGAUUUGGGAGUGCUCGCAAGAGAACCGGAACACAGGUGCUGCAUGGCUGUCGUCAGCUCGUGUCGUGAGAUGUUGGGUUAAGUCCGCAACGAGCGCAACCCUUGUCAUUAGUUGCUACGAAAGGGCACUCUAAUGAGACUGCCGGUGACAAACCGGAGGAAGGUGGGGAUGACGUCAAGUCCUCAUGGCCCUUAUGGGUAGGGCUUCACACGUCAUACAAUGGUCGGGACAGAGGGUCGCCAACCCGCGAGGAGCCAAUCCCAGAAACCCGAUCGUAGUCGGAUCGCAGUCUGCAACUCGACUGCGUGGGGAGUCCGGAAUCGCUAGUAAUCGCGGAUCGGCAUGUCGCGGUGAAUACGUUCCAGGUCUUGUACACACCGCCCGUCACACCAUGGGAGUGGGUUUUACCAGAAGUAGCCUAACCGUAAGGAGGGCGAUUACAGUAAGUUCAUGACUGGGGUGAAGUCGUAACAAGGUAG